GACGAACGCUGGCGGCGUGCUUAACACAUGCAAGUCGAACGAUGACGACCGAGCUUGCUCGGUCUGACUAGUGGCGAACGGGUGAGUAACACGUGAGCAACCUGCCCUUCACUCUGGGAUAACCUCGGGAAAUCGGGGCUAAUACCGGAUAUGAGCUCCUGUCGCAUGGCGGGUGUUGGAAAGUUUUUCGGUGAAGGAUGGGCUCGCGGCCUAUCAGUUUGUUGGUGGGGUAGUGGCUCACCAAGGCGAUGACGGGUAGCCGGCCUGAGAGGGCGACCGGCCACACUGGGACUGAGACACGGCCCAGACUCCUACGGGAGGCAGCAGUGGGGAAUAUUGCACAAUGGGCGAAAGCCUGAUGCAGCGACGCCGCGUGAGGGAUGACGGCCUUCGGGUUGUAAACCUCUUUCAGCAGGGAAGAAGCGAGAGUGACGGUACCUGCAGAAGAAGCGCCGGCUAACUACGUG
rnacentral:rRNA from 1 species